CUAUGGUUAAGGAACUCGGCAAAAUGCCCCCGUAACUUCGGGAGAAGGGGGGCCGGAAUACCGUGAACACCCUUGCGGUGGGAGCGGGAUCCGGCCGCAGAAACCAGUGGGUAGCGACUGUUUACUAAAAACACAGGUCCGUGCGAAGUCGCAAGACGAUGUAUACGGACUGACGCCUGCCCGGUGCUGGAAGGUUAAGAGGACCCGUUAACCGUAAGGUGAAGCGGAGAAUUUAAGCCCCAGUAAACGGCGGUGGUAACUAUAACCAUCCUAAGGUAGCGAAAUUCCUUGUCGGGUAAGUUCCGACCUGCACGAAUGGCGUAACGACUUCCCAACUGUCUCAACCAUAGACUCGGCGAAAUUGCACUACGAGUAAAGAUGCUCGUUACGCGCGGCAGGACGAAAAGACCCCGGGACCUUCACUACAACUUGGUAUUGGUGUUCGGUACGGUUUGUGUAGGAUAGGUGGGAGACUGUGAAAUACAGACGCCAGUUUGUAUGGAGUCGUUGUUGAAAUACCACUCUGAUCGUAUUGGACACCUAACGUCGAACCCUUACCGGGUUCACGGACAGUGCCUGGCGGGUAGUUUAACUGGGGCGGUUGCCUCCUAAAAUGUAACGGAGGCGCCCAAAGGUUCCCUCAACCUGGACGGCAAUCAGGUGACGAGUGUAAGUGCACAAGGGAGCUUGACUGCGAGACUUACAAGUCAAGCAGGGACGAAAGUCGGGACUAGUGAUCCGGCACCCCCGAGUGGAAGGGGUGUCGCUCAACGGAUAAAAGGUACCCCGGGGAUAACAGGCUGAUCUUCCCCAAGAGUCCAUAUCGACGGGAUGGUUUGGCACCUCGAUGUCGGCUCGUCGCAUCCUGGGGCUGGAGCAGGUCCCAAGGGUUGGGCUGUUCGCCCAUUAAAGCGGCACGCGAGCUGGGUUUAAAACGUCGUGAGACAGUUCGGUCUCUAUCCGCCGCGCGCGUCAGAAACUUGAGGAAACCUGUCCCUAGUAC
rnacentral:rRNA from 1 species